CGAUUCUUGGUUCUAACCGUGCACCCCUGCGCGAUUGUAAGACCUUGGAUCUGGGAGCCUGAAACCUGCUUCCCUUUGAGCUCAGAUCCGUGGCUCCUCCCUCCAGGGCUCACCACUGCCCUGUGCAGCAGCCUUGGAAUCCUCCAAUAAAGCAGCCUUCUCUCGCCCUGGAGCCAGCUUCCUGCCCAGAUCCCUUGUUCUAGGCUGUCCCCCAGCCCCACGUGGCUCCAGUUCCACACCCUAAGCAUUUCUAUGAAUCUGGGCCUUGUUGGAUGUUUAUUUGUGGGGUGUGAAUCCCCAGGGGAAACAAAGCUGGGCGUGCAUGCCAAUGUCCUUGUCAGUCUUGGAUCCUGGGCCUCCAAGGGCUCCGUUGUAGCCUUCAGUGUCCACAAAGCACUGGUGUGAGGUUGAGACAGGUGAAGAGCAGGCAGAGGGACUCAGCCUCGCCUCAGAUCCACAGCCUGCCCAGGAGGAAGCCUGAAGCACACUGUGGGUGAGGUCAGAUCUUGGCAGAGUAUCCGGAUGCCUCGCAAAGCCAGCUUCCCCAGCUGGGUCUGGAAUGGGGUCCACAGUGCCCCUCCAAAUAUGGUAGUUUUACUGGUUUUACCCAAUCUUGGCAACCUCCAGAGCCCGUGCAGCCAAAUCUGUGGCUUUGAAUAUGAGAAUCACCUCAACCAGCAUUCUUUCUAAGGCAACGUGUGAAGAGGCGCACACACAGCAGCUGCAGAGAGAGGAUGAACGAGGCUGAGUCCCGUUAAGAGAUAAGCGUUCUGCAUACACCGUAGCUGGCUGGUGGACAGGGUGGUGAUCCAGAAAACCCACAUUUAAACCAUCCAGUGAUCCCCUUCCUCAGAGCUGACCGUCCCACAAAAUGGAAGUCUUUCCAGCUGGAGCGGAAAGUCACUUCAUCUUUUCUUCCCUGAGGUGGAUACAACGUGUUUCGGGCAGGUGAGAGUGGUUUUGGAGGCGAAGGGACUCCUAGCAGUGAAUUUAACUGCAGCACUGACACUCUGACCCCCUCCCUCCCCAGAGGAGCAGCAGCAAGGUCUAGGAAGACGCUAAAGAUCCCAAGCAAGAUCCUUUCAGAAAUUCACCAGUGAGCUUCCCAUUGUAGCUGGUUCAGUGAAGGGUUACGUUUCCUCAAUGCAGUGUCAGGAAAGACUGUCCACCAAGUUACUACCAACCUUACACAAGAAACAGACUUUCUAGACAACAGGAAAGGAGGAAGGAGGGUAGGAGGAAGGAAGGAAGGAGAUAGGAAAGAGUCAUUUAUUAAUAAUUGGCUAUACAAGGAUCAAAAGCAAUUUCCCCAGUGAUAAGAAUGCCAGCUUGCCUUGGAACUUAGCCCCGAAGCCCUCGUUCAUCCUUAAGUCAUUUGCCUUCCAUAUUUACCAGUUCUCAAGGACAUUGCUUUUUUCUGCUCAACGACCAGUGAGCCUCGUGAGGUAUGUUCUCAGCCCUACUGUGGUACCAUGCCAUGGCCGAGGAUGGGCAUCCUGGAGCCGUCCGUGUCACCCACCCAGCAAUGGCUCCGGAACUUCUGCCUCUUGGCCUGCAGAGGAGGGGUGCUUGAACUUCAGUUAGGCAGCCCCCUCCCCUUGGAGCAGACACAGCACAGAGCACACGAGGAGGCCAUGCUGUAACUAAUAACAAGUAGCUACGGGUGUCAUUGUCCUCGAUUCCUGGCAUGGAAUCCCCAAGCUCAUAACUCCAGAACAAUAGAGAAGCCUCUUCUGCCCAAACAUGUCACCUUUGACCCAGUCCCUGGUACAGAACUUCUGAAUCCCUUGGGAUGCCCUGGGCUACAGAGCAUCUUUUGUCCUAGGGACCUUUUUUUAUUGUUUUGUUUUGUUUUUUGUUUUGUUUUGUUUUGUUUUUUGCUUUGUUUGUUUGUUUGUUUGUUUGUUUUUGCUGGUCACCACGUGAGAACAUUCAGCUUUACCCCACAUCUUCCAGCAAGUGAAGGGGACUGGAGACUGACAUCAUAGUUGAUUGCAUCUUCAUGGUAGAGCCUCCAUAAAACAAUUUCCCCUCAAUAGUGGGGCUUGGGGUGCUUCCGUGCAUGCUGGGAGGGUGUUACGCUUAACGGGGCAUGGGACCUUCCCACCCCUUCCCUCGUACCUUGCCUUGUAUACUCAGGCUCUUCCUGAGUUGUAUCCUUUCGUAAUAGGUUGGGUGAGUCAGGAAAGCGUCUCUGUGACCUCUGUGAAGUAAAGGAUGGAUCCCAAAAGGAUUGUGAGAGCCUUGGAUUUGCAGCCAAAUCAGACAGAGGGGAAAUGCAGCCUGGAAAUGCACAGUUUCUUCCCAAAUCUAAGGAAGUCUGGCAAGACUGAGAGCCCUCUUGUUUCUUUGCAUCAUUUUAUUUUAUUUUAUUUUAUUUUAUUUUAUUUUUGCUACUGUUGUUUUGGAGAUAAGGUCCCAAGUGGUCUAGGCUGACUUUGAACUGGUUAUGUGGCCAAGGUUGACUCUGAACUCAUGAUAGAGGUAUAGAUAUCUUUGACUCCGUUUCCCAAGUGCUUAGAACACAGGUAUGCCCCAUUCCACUUGGCAAAGCCAAGAUUUACACUUGUGGGAUCUGAUGCUAUCACCAGGUAGAUGUUGUCAGACCUGAAUUGCAUUGUGGGACACCCAGCUGGUCACAGAAGAUUGAUGAAUGUGAAGAAUCUACAUCUGGCCACAAAAGAAUCCCGUGUUGGGAAGCCCAGGGAACAGAAACAGGCAUGGGGUCUCUUGCCUCUCAAGACACUAGGCUGGUGCUCUCUAGAGACCUGUGCGGGAGCAACAUCUGUCCGGAGACCUUGAAGCCGCAUUCCAUCAAAGAUUCUCUAAAACAGUAAGUCCAAUACAGGAGCCACCAGCUGGCAAUCACUUGACACAUGGCCACUGGAUGUGCUAAAUGUAAAAAGUGCACAUGCUUUGAAGGACAUGUGGAAUGAAACAUUCAAAGCAGCUCCGUAAUAAUUGUUUUUAACAUCGAUUAUGCUAAACUGGUAAUAUUCUUCUUUUACUAGUUAAAUAUAUUGUUUACAUUAUUCUUAUUGUAAAAUACAUAUGGUGUAAGCUUAUCAUCUUUUUAAAGGUGUUUUAUUUCUAAUUAUGGGGGUGGCUAGGAAGCAUAUAUUAAUUAGUGCAAGUGCCUGUGGAGCCCAGAAAAGGGCCUCGGAUCCCCUGGAGUUACAGGUGGCUGUAGAACACCUGACACAGGAACUGGGAACUGAACUCAAAGCCUCUGCAAGAGCACUACCUGCUCUGCCACUGAGCCAUCCAUCUCUCCAGUCUCCAAGCCUGCCACCUUCAAGAGUACAGAGCCGUAUUGUUCCAGACAUCCCUACUGGUAUGUUACCACCACUACCAUCCCGCCACAGAACUUCUCAAACCAAAUCUCUGAACCCAAAUAAACAACAAGUCUGUC